rnacentral:lncRNA from 1 species
UGCAAUAAUAGAGUAAAAUUAAUAAUUAUUCCAACAUAUUCAAUUACUAAUUCUAUGGUAAAUUCAACAUUAACAAUAAAUAUUCAACAAAUUAACUAAUAAUAAUUAUGCCAAUACAAUAAUAAAAAAUAUUCAAUAAAUUAAAAAAAAAACUAUAGACUUUAUCUACAUUAUAAAAAAUACACCAAAACAAAAAACAUAACAAAAAAAAUAGCAAAAAAAAA